AUUGAACGCUGGCGGCAGGCCUAACACAUGCAAGUCGAGCGAGAGUCGGACGGGUGAGUAAUGUGUGGGAGAAAGCCCGAUAGAGGGGGGGAAAUACAGGAAACGGGAGCUAAUAUAGCAUAUCAUCUGAGGUGUCCAGAGGGGAGUAGAUAGUAGGUGGGGUAACGGCGCACCUAGGCGACACUCCCUAGCUGGUCUGAGAGGGUGACCAGCCACACUGGAACUGAGACACGGUCCAGACUCCUACGGGAGGCAGCAGUGGGGAAUAUUGCACAAUGGGCGCAAGCCUGAUGCAGCCAUGCCGCGUGUAUGAAGAAGGCCUUCGGGUUGUAAAGCACUUUCAGCGGGGAGGCGUUACCCGCAGAAGAAGCACCGGCUAACUCCGUGCCAGCAGCCGCGGUAAUUC
rnacentral:rRNA from 1 species